AGUGAACGCUCGCGGUAGGCCUAACACAUGCAAGUCGAACGGCAGCACAGUAAGAGCUUGCUCUUACGGGUGGCGAGUGGCGGACGGGUGAGGAAUACAUCGGAAUCUACUUUUUCGUGGGGGAUAACGUAGGGAAACUUACGCUAAUACCGCAUACGACCUACGGGUGAAAGCAGGGGAUCUUCGGACCUUGCGCGAUUGAAUGAGCCGAUGUCGGAUUAGCUAGUUGGCGGGGUAAAGGCCCACCAAGGCGACGAUCCGUAGCUGGUCUGAGAGGAUGAUCAGCCACACUGGAACUGAGACACGGUCCAGACUCCUACGGGAGGCGGCAGUGGGGAAUAUUGGACAAUGGGCGCAAGCCUGAUCCAGCCAUACCGCGUGGGUGAAGAAGGCCUUCGGGUUGUAAAGCCCUUUUGUUGGGAAAGAAAAGCAGCAGGUUAAUACCCCGCUGUUCUGACGGUACCCAAAGAAUAAGCACCGGCUAACUUCGUG
rnacentral:rRNA from 1 species